UACGGGGGGGGCAAGCGUUGUUCGGAAUUACUGGGCGUAAAGGGCGCGUAGGCGGCCCUCUUAGUCGGACGUGAAAUCCCCAGGCUUAACUUGGGAACUGCGUCCGAUACUGGAGGGCUUGAGUGCGGGAGAGGGAUGUGGAAUUCCAGGUGUAGCGGUGAAAUGCGUAGAUAUCUGGAGGAACACCGGUGGCGAAGGCGGCAUCCUGGACCGACACUGACGCUGAUGCGCGAAAGCUAGGGGAGCAAACGGG
rnacentral:rRNA from 1 species